AGUUCUGGAAAAGAGGAACUGGGUCCUUCCUGGGGCUGCCGUUGCUAGAGAGAGUACCAUUUCUGGUGCACACCGGAAAUUUCCUCUCUGGAAGUGUUUGCCCUGUAACAGCAGCUGGCCUGGGCAGGGCUGGAUCCAGCUUCGCUGGUCACGAGGCCGGGGCUUUCCCCUGCGGCCAUUCCGGAUGGUGUCACUAACAUCAGAUGAAGCCAAGGCACGGAGCCAGCCUAGGUGUUCACCAGCCGAUGAACGAAUAGAUGAAGGAAAUGUGGUUUAUAUGCAACGGAGUUUUAUUCGGCCUCAACGAACAACAAAACGAUGUCACACAUGUUACCUAGGCACCUCUAUGGAGGACAGAGACCUGAGGAGCUGCAGCAGGGUGGCCCCCCUGCAUGUCACUUCUCAGCAGAGCUGGCCAUCAUGACAGUGUGCAUGGGAUCUCGUGGUUGAAUGGUUGAACUCUACCUGGAGGGUGAGCUGCUUCCUGUCGACAGAACUGAGAGCAGUUCUUUGUUCAGAAGAUGCCAUCAGUCUGCAAGAGUUUCCUUUUCCUUUUUUCCUUCG